CAUAGCUAUCAAUAUCUUGGCUUUAGGUAGAAAAUAAUCACUUUAGUAUGUCCCAAGGAAGGCACUGUAAGAAACACUUUGAAACAAUCCAGAUUUCCUCCAUCCCAUUUCAGAUGCUGUCCUCACAAUUCACACUCAAGGAACAACUUAACGUUUCUGGAUUCUGAACUGAAAUCUAAGGACACAGAAAAGUAUCUGUGUUGAACCUGUGUGUGAUCCUAACACAUAAAAUGGAAAAUGAGAUGCACAGAGGACUCUCCCGUAUAUUACAUCUCACACGUGAAUUAAUCAUCUGUCAAAUAUCUCAGCGACAUUCGCUCUGUAUUACAGAAUGUUUGAACACAUUUUCAGUUCAUAAGAUGAAAAAAGUCCUCAUUUCAUUGACUUAGAGAAAGGGGUGAGUCAGCAGCAGAACGCCCCCUAGCCAGUCACUUCCCACACAGAUGUCACUUCCUGUUCCCGGAGGUGCCACGGUGUCAGCUGGGAGCAGUCUGGGAAUCCGGACAGAUGGGUGAGGCCACAAUUGGAGACACUGAGCUCAGCUGCUCCCACCUCAGCAUGUCGGCCUAGGCUCUGGAGUGGGAGCUGGAGGGGAGAGCAGAGGAGCUGCUGGGAUUGCAACUGGUGCAGCUGUGGCUGCUGCUGCUCUAAAAACAUCGACAAUGCUUCCAGUGAUCUUAGGAGCUGCCUCCCCACCUCCAGCCAACCAUCUGGCAUCCCUGCCAGGGAGAUGAGCAGCAGCCUCCCCGAUCUCCAGCUACUGGACAAGAGCAGGGACCCACUCAUGGAGCUAGGAACGGAGCUCCAGUGGCUGCUGCUGCCCCACAGCCAACCAUCUGACAUCCCUGCCAGAGAGGUGAGCAGCAGCCUCCCGGAUCUCCAGCUACUGGACAAGAGCAGGGAGAAGCUCAUGGCUCUGGGACCCCAGCUGCUGACUCCGAGCAGCCUGAGCAGGCUGAUGGACAGGAACACCAGGCUUGGCAACAAGGACUCACCCAUUUUCCACUCUGUCUCAGGCUCCAGAAUGCUCUUCCCCCUGCAGCUCUGCCUUGCACACCUCCAUAUCCCAGAAUUUGUCUGACUCAGAAGAUAAAGCCAGUGAUCAUGCACACAGAAUGCAGAAUGUUCUUCUUCGUUGACAACUUUGGGUGUACACAAAUGAAAGCAAAGCAAAAAUGAUUAUUAAAGAAAAAUGGAGCUUGAAUUUGAUUAUAAAGCUCAGUGGUUUCAGUUAAAUGUCCAUGCACGAGCUGCAAAGAUUUGUAAGGUUUUGCAUUUCAUGUAUCUGUUCAGCAUGAUUUAAUCCAAUUUCCUGUUUAGAUUUUUGAAUAUAAUUUAUUCUUAAUAGCCAUUCAAAAUUUAGCUGGUUAGUCACAAUUUUCACCUAAGUCUUUGAUGAGAAGUUAACAGAAUGGUAUAUUUGUUUGAUGAGUCAUACUCAGCCUGGAGAAUGUCAUCUGAGACAGUUGAGGUGACUAAAGUAAGACUUCAUGACACUUAUACUACCAGAGUUGUUCUGUUUGCCUGAAAUAUUUGCCAUAAAUAGAAUGAGCCUUUGCCUUGAGUCACCCCUGGGCUUCAGCCUAUGACUAAGAGUAUAUAAAUGAUUAUCACUUUUAAAUGGUAUAUUUAACCUUCAGCUCUUAUUUUGUUUUAUUUUAGUAACUUUAUACAAUCUAUCAGUGACUGGUUACAGUCCCUUACUUGUAGCAGGGACAUAGAGGCUUAUUCUAGAGAUGGAUUUAGAACAAACUGCAACCUUACACAAUGCAAAACAUUUGGGAAUAUACUUUAGCAGACUAGACAAUAAACUGUAUUUAUAAUCCCUGAAUCCCACAGGCCUGAAACUCUUCAUGUAGAAUUUGCUGACCAUGAACUCUGAGGAAGACCUGCCUCUGCCUCCUGGUGAUGGCCUUACAUAUGUACAUGAUGACCUACUUACAUUUCAUUUUAACUUCAUUUUGUUAGCUGCAAUGAUCUCUUGUAAUCAUGCCCUUGGGAUUUAUGGGAGGCUGGAGUCAUGAUACAUCAACUUCCCAGCACAGAGAAUAACUGUAAUUGCCUGAAAAAUCUAAUGUCAAGUAAUCUAAGAAAGGCUGGUUGAUAACAUACAACUAAAUGAAGGAAAGUUGGACAUGAUUGUGCAUACAUACAAACAAGUACUUGGGAGGUAGAGCAGACGAUCAGGAAUUCAAAGUUAACAUAGGAAUCAUAGUAUCGUUGAAGCCAGCUGAGAAUAUACCUGGAACCUUCUCUCAAAGUGGGGGUCAGUUGGGGUGGGAUGUAUUGUAACUUUCAAAUGUGUCUCCUUUGCUUGUGUUGUAUACUAAAUGAAAAGUUUCUCUGCAUUUAAUAGACUAACUACAACUAGAUAUCAUUACAGUUGAAGGUAGUCAAAAGUAAAGCUUAUUAUAUCCAUUCACAAUACAAUAGUUCACAAAGUUGGUAUAACUACUGAACAUUAAGAAAGUAAUAUUGAUAAAAUAGGAAUGAAAAUAACAAAAAUACAGUAUCCUUAAAGAGUAGGAGAAAAAUAGUAGCACAAACUAUUGGCACUGAAGAUUAACAAAAUAUACUAUUGGAUUAUGCAAUAAAACUAAUACUAGUAAUUUAAUUGGGCAUUAGGAAAAAUAUUUAACUCUCACUUCUGAGAAUUAAAAAACAGAACUGUAAUAACAUAAAGACAGGUUUGUAAGAACUAAAUGAAGAUUUAGUUUGCAUUAGGCAGUCAGGUGAGCAUAUGAAACAUUCUUUGUUAGAAUCGAGUUUUAUGCUGAAAAUAUUUGCAUGUUUGUUUUCAUAUAUAUAUGUAUAUAAUUUUGUUUUAGUUGUUGAUUUUAGGAGUUUAUAUUAGUAGUCUAUGUGGUAAUUCAGGUUUGUGUGUGUUUUUGUUGUGUCAUGAAACAGGAGUUUCAUGACUGCAGUUGUGAAACGCUGCUAUAGUGAGUCCCCUUACCUUUUCCUCAUAAUAGUGUGGUAAGAUAAUUUUUAUUUUUCUUUUUUUAGAGAUAUUUUUCUGUGUUUACAAAAGUAAUGUUACUUCUGCUAAUGUAUUUCAUUAUACUGGUUAUAAAGUUGCUUUUUUCACAGUGAGCAACAUUAAGCUGCCUAUUCCAAAAUUAGGAAAGGAACAGAUGACUUGGUAGGUUCCCAUGUGUCAAACAGUAAAUAUUUCAUAAUUAGAUGACUUUAGUUAAGCAACAUAGAAUGUUUUCAUGGAAAACAUUCAGAAUGAUGGGGCCAUACACUCCUGGAUUAAAUACUGUAGUUUCUUGAUUGAUUAAUAUCCUGACCUAAGUAAGAACGUGAGUAGUCUUUUAGGAAUUUACUUUUAAAUAGAGCAUCUAACAAUGCAUACACUUUCCAGCUGCAUAGAAAGAGGUGUACUAAUUCCAGCCUGUGACAUAUAAUUGUAUUCUUUGGUGGUCUUUCACAAAGUGUUCAUUGUGUUUUUUUAAUAUGUAUAAUUAAACUCUGUGAAGAGUGUGACAAAUCAGUUCUUUCCGCAGAGAUGUAGAUUACAAGGACAGAUGCAGUACAUUGUUCCUCUGGAAUAAGCUGUAGUCCAAGCCUAUAGCAUAGAUUUUCUUUGGUACAAUCUUCAUUGGUAGUUGGUUUAUCCAUUUUUUUGUUUUUGUUUUUUUUUUUUGGUAUGGUUUUAUCUUUUUAACCCAUCGGUGGCCCUAUUUUUGACAAAUGCUGCCAGUGAUUGCUAUUUUUUUGUCUUUUACAUACUUUAUCUUUUUAAAAAACUGACUAUAGACAUUAAUUUAGAGAGAAAGGAAUUAGAUCCCAAGUUAAAAAAAUGUAGUUUAAGUUGUAGUGUGUCUCGCUAGUUACAAAUCCCAUAUUAAUCCAACAAUGAAAUCUUAGAGAUUCAGAAUCAGCAAGGGGGCAAUUUUCAUAAUAUGGCUAUUUUAUUUUCUGAGACAGGGCAGUACAAACCUUGAACUCGUCAUGUAGAAAACUCUGUCCUUUUGUAAUACUCGUGUCUGUUCUUCUCAAUCAUGGGAUUACAUGUGUAAACCAUUAGCCUGGCUAAAUAUUUUACUUAGAAAUGUAUCAAAGCUGUCUCUUCCUAAAAAUUUUGAUUUCUAAAUAAUCCUUUCCAAAAUAAAAAAGUAUACUGUAGAUUGACUUCAAAUAAGAGAAAUUUGUGUAAUAUAAAAACAAUAAAUGUAGUUCUGAUUAGGACAAGAACUUAUUGCAGAGUAGUUCCAACACAGAGUGGAAAUACAGGGUUAAAAAUGAAGACUCAUGAAGAUACUGUUUGCUGGAAUGUUAAUUAAAAUAAAUCAUUUAAGGCAGCAAAAUAUAAUAGAAGUCAUUUGCCAGGGAAUCCAAUGAUCUAAGAAACUCUGUAGAGUAAAAGGGAGUUACCUUAAAUUGAUUCACCAAAUUUCCUACUACUAAUAUCUGAAAUACUUAUCAAUAAGUUUAUGACUGCUGUUUUUAUUGAGUCUUCCUGGCAAUUCUGUUGCUCACUGCCAAGCAGAACAAAUUAGCUGUAUGCUUUCUUUCAGUCUUGCUCUUCCCAUAGUUCCUAUUGGAAAGAGUUCUUUUUUGCCUGUUUUAUAAUACAGCAGGGAAGACUUAGUUAAUGUUUACCUUUUGGUUGCUUUUCAAGAAAUUACACAUUAAAUUUUAGUAGUAGCUAUUUACAUAAAAACAUAUUGAUUAAUCUUUAAGUUUCCAUGUGAGUGCUUGCAGAUACAGUAUUACCAAUAAAAGUAUAUGUAUAGGUCAUCAGGUGAUCAUUUAAAGGGUGCUUUGUUAGAAUCCAGUUGUAUGCUGAGAAUAUUUGCAUGUUAGGUUUGCAUAUGUAUUUAAUUCUUAUUUUAGUUUAUUAUUAUAUGAGAUUAUAUUAGUAGACUAUAUGGUAAUUAAGUUUUGGUGUGUGUUUGUGUUAUUUCAUGAAACAGGAGUUUCAUGACUGCAGUUGUGAAACGCUGCUAUAGUGAGUCCCCUUACCUUUUCCUCAUAAUGGUGUAGUAAGAUCAUUUUUAGUUUUUUAGACAUUUUUUCUGUGUUUCUAAAAAUGAUGCUUCAACUGCUAAUGUAAGUUUAUGAUAGUAGUUAUAAAGUUGUUGUUUAUUUCACACUGAGCAACAUCAAGCUGCCUAUUCCAAAAUUAGGAAAGGCUCAGAAGACUAAACGGGUUCCCACGUAUCAAACUGUAAAUAUUUUGUAAUUAGAUGACUUUAGUUAAGCAACAUAGAAUGUUUUCAUGGAAAACAUUCAGAAUGAUGGGGCCAUACACUCCUGGAUUAAAUCCUGUAUUUUUUAUUGAUAAUCAUCCUUACCUAAGUAAUAAUGUGAGUAGUAUUUUAGGAAUUACCCUUUCCAGCCUCCUAGAAAGAGGUAUACUUUUUCUUCUUUCAUAAAUCUAGAUAUUCUUGCCUAUGAUAUAUAAAUGUUUUGUAUAGUCCUCUUGUAACUAAGUUUUUAUUGUGCAUUUUGAUGCUUACAGUUUAAACUAUGUAAAUAGUGUGCCAAAUCACAUUUUUUGCCAGAAAUAGUGAUUAUAGAGACAGAUUCAGGUUAUUGUACAUGUUAAAAAAGAUACAUUCUUUGCCUAACAUUGAUAGCUUUUAUUGAAAUCCUCAUUGGUAGCUUUUCUACAUUUUGGUUGUUUUUUUGUUUGGUUGGUUGGUUGUUGAUUUUUCUAUCCAGUUUGGCAUUAACAUUGGCCAGAGGUGCAAAUAAUUGCUAAGUUUUUUUCUUCAUUUUCAAAAUUAUCAUUAAAAAAAACUGACUAUAUACAUUACUUAAUGAGACAGGAAUUGGUAAUCUCAAUAUAUGAUCGACUUCUUAAGACAUCAUGUUACAUCACAGACAAAGAUGGGCAUCAAAGAAAGUCAUUGUGGAGUGUGCCUUUGACAUGACAGCACCACCAAUUUGGACAAGAAUCUUCACUUCAUGGAAUUCUUGACAGCAAGUUGUCAAAACAGGACAAGCAUGUUACAAAGAAAUGUUACUGCUGAACAUGCAGAGGAACAGUAUGAUUACCCAUUAACCUGCUUUAUUGAAACAUCAGCCAAACAUUCUGGGGCUAUAAGCUGAAGAGGGAUUCCACAAUGUUAAAGAGGAUCCUUGAAUGACAUUCUAGACAUCGAGAUCUCACUGUCAAUUCUAGAGUAUAUAUAUUACAUUUCUGUAAACUUUUGUGGUGUUGAAGACAGAUAGUUACAGUUAUGGAUUUUCAUAGUUAUGGUAAUAAAUAAUUUGCAUACAAAGCUUUAAACUGACAUAAAUAGGAAGUUGAUAUAGUGUUUUCUUUAAAUUUGCCAAAUGUUAAUGGACUAAAUAUAUUAACUGUAGUUUUUUGCUUACUACAUCUUCUAACGCAUAAUUGUAUGAUUUUAAAUGUAAACUUCGUUUGUUUUUCCAGACUCAAAUAGAUGAUGUGUUAUGUCCUUCUGUUUAAUGUGACUAUGUUUCUCUUCUUUGUUGAUGAAUUAAACUGUGUUUGCCAAAUGCCAGACAGGAUAUAGCAAGGGAGAAUGUAUAGGCAAUAUGAAAUUCUGAGAGAGGAAUAUGUAGAGCAGAUCUUCAGACAGAUGCUAUGUAGCUUCUGCGAAGAUAGGUUGCUGGUUCAUUUUCUGGUCAGCCCAGACAAUCUGCAGAUUCACUGACUAAUUCAAAUCGGUUAGUAAUUAGAUGGAGCUAGCCUGUGCUAAGGACAAAUAGUUUAUAUUUUACAUUGCCCUCUGUGUGUUUAUUUGAGAGUGCAGUGUGGCAGAAUCAAGAUGAACACUAAAUUCGGCCUACACAUUACUGUUAGUGGAAAAAUUACUGAGUUGCCUUGUUUUGUGAAUAUGGAUGGUAGAAAAUUCAUCUUCUCACAGAUCACAUGUUCAGCACUGUGUUCCUGAGAAACAGUGCUGACCUCAAUCAGCACUUUCUACAUGUCAUAUGCAUAUUUGCAUGGAGUUUUUUGAAUCCUCUGCCCAAUUGUUGUCUGCUAGCAACAACACAAUGGGAAAACAAGGGGGGGAAUUUUCCACAUAACCAGUCCUAGCUUUUCAUAAAUUUGCGGGUUAAUUAACAACAAAUGUGGCAGAAGAAAUGUUACUUUUAUUUUGGAGAAAUUAUUAUGUAUGCUCUGACUUCUUUAAUUUUUCUGGACCUAAAGUCAUAUUGUUACAUGUGGCUGUGAAAGUGUAUACAUAUUUAAAAUGUAACUCUGAAAUAUAAAUAAGUUCUGGAAUUUUCUGUUUGGAAAAGAUAUAGUUCUAUUGUUUCAAGUUAUGCUGUAAUGGCAAAUAUUCUGAGAACUAUGUUUAAACUAUUCAAAUUCUUGUGCCUCAUUACCAAAAAGAUAUGAAAAAUUAUGAUGUAAUAUUAACUGAGUAUACCCUCAAGAAUUUUGCCUUAAAUGUUGUACAUUGUCUUAAUAGACACAAAAAAAUCUUAGAGAAAUUAAUAUAAAAAGAAAUAAAUAAUUUGGACAUACAUUA